rnacentral:lncRNA from 1 species
UAUUUUAAAAAGAAUUGAAUGGAAAUUUAUUACCUGUUCAUGCCACUACGGUUUCCAAUUUUCCAUCGCAUAAGUGUGGAUUCCGUCUUCUCCUUUAAUUAUUAGGUUUCUUUCUCAUCGCCGCCAGAGAUUGAUUCGGACUGGAAAUUUAUGCACGUCAAUGACCUCACAACAAAAGGGUAGUGAGGUCGACUAAAAACAAGGAGCACUUUCGUGCUGAUAAUGUGUUGUGAAACUAGCCUAUUAACACAGGAAUAUAAGAAGAAUUAUAGGGAGAAAAGAAUUAAUAUUUCAUUGAUAGGUAUGUCUUUAACAAAGAACUACAAUGAAUAUAUAUAAGAGAUGAAAUCUUGGAGAACAAGCCAAUCUAUUUAUGGAGUUGAUAACCACAUAAUAUAAUAUACUUAUAACAGAAAAAGAUUUGAUUGGAAAAACGUAAAAGAAAACGAUACGAGAUGAGAGAAGAGAAAACGUAUUUAAAAUAAGGGAUUUUUACAUAUUUCCCCCUCUUAAGAAGGCUUAUUACAUAUUUCCCCAAAUAAAAAAUUUAAUUACAUAUUUCCCCUGUUUUUUGAAAAUUACUCAACUACCCUUUUCUUAUUCUCAUAAUCCUCAUAUCUCAUGUCGCUCGUUUCCUCUUCUAAAUCUGCCACACCAAACCCUACAUGGCAGACCAUCAAUCUUCUUCCCCUCCACCUGGUAAUCGCAGUUUGUAACGAAGCCAAACCCUAGACGAGCAGAAGAAGGCGCCGAACCCUAAAUGAGCAGAAAAAGACGUUAAACCCUACACGAGUUUCAGGUAGUGUUUGGAUUAGUAGGCAACUGAUCUACAAUUGCAGAAAAGCCAUCCCUGGUGGGAUUAAAGGUGAAGCGAGGAUUGUUGGAAGGAUUAGGAGAUUAGUAUUCAACCUGUAUAAUGGGAAUUUUAAAUCCACGGGAGUCGCGGGUGUGAAGAAUGUUUGCCAACUGAAGCAUGGGAUUGAUAUGACACUGAAAAGGAAAGCCGCGCGAUGCGGCGGCGACACAAAAAUGUCCACGUUUUUGUGAGUAUGGACGUCGUGAAAAGAGAUACAAAAACUCAGCACCUGAAGAUUCUACUCAACAUCAAGCCUCAACAAGUAAAAGGGGAAGAGGAAAUAGUACAAAAAUCUUGAAAGUAAUUAGUCAUAGUUGAGCAAUUAAUUUUGAAAUUUUGGUAUCGUAGUCAUAGUUGGGUAUUGCUUGUGAAUAAGUAAGGAUUGCAUUUUUGAAAGUAAGGAAAGAGUACAAAAAUCUUUGUUUUUUGGCACAAUGAUUAUGAACAAGUAAGGAUUGCAUUUUU